rnacentral:rRNA from 1 species
UAAUCGCGGAUCAGCAGGCCGCGGUGAAUACGUUCUCGGGUCUUGUACACACCGCCCGUCAAGGCAGUAAAGCCGGUAGUAGCAGAACCUCGAUUGUAUCGGGGGAUGCUAAGAUCGGUGAUAAGGCUUAAGUCGUAACAAGGUAUCCCUAGCCGAAGCUGGGGAUGGAUCACCUCCUUUCUA